rnacentral:rRNA from 1 species
AUUGAACGCUGGCGGCAUGCCUUACACAUGCAAGUCGAACGGUAACGGGCCUUCGGGUGCCGACGAGUGGCGAACGGGUGAGUAAUGUAUCGGAACGUACCUUUCAGUGGGGGAUAACGCAGCGAAAGUUACGCUAAUACCGCAUAUUCUGUGUGCAGGAAAGCAGGGGAUCGCAAGACCUUGCGCUGAUUGAGCGGCCGAUAUCAGAUUAGCUAGUUGGUGAGGUAAAGGCUCACCAAGGCGACGAUCUGUAGCGGGUCUGAGAGGAUGAUCCGCCACACUGGAACUGAGACACGGUCCAGACUCCUACGGGAGGCAGCAGUGGGGAAUUUUGGACAAUGGGGGCAACCCUGAUCCAGCCAUGCCGCGUGAGUGAAGAAGGCCUCCGGGUUGUAAAGCUCUUUCGGCCGGGAAGAAAUCGUAUCAGCUAAUACCUGGUGCGGAUGACGGUACCGGCAUAAGAAGCACCGGCUAACUACGUGCCAGCCGCCGCGGUAAGAC